rnacentral:rRNA from 1 species
UACGAAGGGGGCUAGCGUUGUUCGGAAUUACUGGGCGUAAAGCGCGCGCAGGCGGUUCUCCAAGUCAGUGGUGAAAGCCCGGAGCUCAACUCCGGAACUGCCAUUGAAACUGUUGAACUUGAGGACGAGAGAGGUGAGUGGAAUUCCCAGUGUAGAGGUGAAAUUCGUAGAUAUUAGGAAGAACACCAGUGGCGAAGGCGGCUCACUGGCCCGGUACUGACGCUGAGGCGCGAAAGCGUGGGGAGCAAACAGG